AAAAAGUUAGGUAACAAUUUAAAGAGCACACAUUAGGGUUUUAGUUGUUAAUUAAUGAGAACCGAGAGCUUCUGCCGAAAAGAAGACAGAGUUCGUUGAUUGGAUUUCAUGAGUCUGCAAUCUGAAUUCGAUCUCGCCACGAUAUCCAAUUGUAUUGCUUCUCUUAUUGAUAUUCUGGUUUGGAUGAUCUUUGGAGGCUAUGGUGCUAAUUAUCAUUUUGGUUUCUUUCUGAUAUAUGUGGAGUUUGGGAGUUUAAUUUGCUCGACUGGCAACUCAUUCAGUGGCGACAAGUUUUUACAUCAGUAAUGAGUGGAUUAAGCUUGGAAAUCUCAUUUGUUAAGUAGCAGCAUGUGCUAAUGUUUUGGUGCAAGAUUGGUGAUAGGUUUUUGUUUUUUUUCGUGCUAGCAAUUUUGUGGUGCUAGUUUUUUUUAGCAGCAGCAUGUGCUCUAGGUUUAGACGAGUGAUGGAGUUUCGUAUUUUGUUCCCUGGACUCUAUCUUUUGUCUAGCCAUGCACAUCUUGUGCUGGUUUAAUUUUCAUGCAUGGUUUUCAUGUGUGUUAUUGACAAUGUUUUUUUUUGUUGAAAUGAAAUGCAAUGUUGUCGACAUGAAA